rnacentral:rRNA from 1 species
AGAGUUUGAUCCUGGCUCAGAGCGAACGUUUGCGGCGGGCCUAACACAUGCAAGUCGAACGAGAACCCUUCGGGGGGAAAGUGGCGCACGGGUGCGUAACACGUGGAUAAUCAACCCUUUGGUCGGGGACAACACCGGGAAACUGGUGCUAAUACCGGAUAAGCCUCAUUGAGGGAAAGACCCGCAAGGGUUGCCAUUGGACGAGUCCGCGGCCCAUCAGCUAGUUGGUAGGGUAAUGGCCUACCAAGGCAAAGACGGGUAGCUGGUCUGAGAGGAUGAUCAGCCACACUGGAACUGAGACACGGUCCAGACUCCUACGGGAGGCAGCAGUGGGGAAUAUUGCGCAAUGGGCGAAAGCCUGACGCAGCCACGCCGCGUGAGCGAUGAAGGUCUUCGGAUUGUAAAGCUCUGUGGAGAGAGAAGAAGAAAGCCUGUGAAGAGCAGGCCUUGACGGUAUCUCUUUAGCAAGCACCGGCUAACUCCGUGCCAGCAGCCGCGGUAAUACGGAGGGUGCAAACGUUGCUCGGAAUCAUUGGGCGUAAAGCGCGCGUAGGCGGUUUGGUAAGUUGGAUGUGAAAGCCCUGGGCUCAACCUAGGAAGUGCAUUCAAAACUGCCAGACUUGAAUCCCGGAGGGGGCCAGAG